rnacentral:rRNA from 1 species
GAUGAACGCUAGCGGCGUGCCUAACACAUGCAAGUCGAACGUGAGAGGGUACUUGUAUCCUUGAAAGUGGCGGACGGGUGAGUAAGACGUAGGUGACCUGCCUUGAAGUGGGGGAUAACCAUUGGAAACGAUGGCUAAUACCGCAUAAGCUGGUGACGAUGGGAAUCGUUAACAGGAAAGCUUUAGUGCUUUGAGAGGGGCCUACGGCCGAUUAGCUAGUUGGUGAGGUAAAGGCUCACCAAGGCGAUGAUCGGUAGCUGGUCUGAGAGGACGAUCAGCCACACGGGAACUGAGACACGGUCCCGACUCCUACGGGGGGCAGCAGUGAGGAAUAUUCGGCAAUGGGGGCAACCCUGACCGAGCAACGCCGCGUGGAGGAUGACGGUUUUCGGAUCGUAAACUCCUUUUCUCAGGGAAGAGCGAGGACGGUACCUGGGGAAUAAGUCACGGCUAACUACGUG